rnacentral:rRNA from 1 species
UACGAAGGGGGCUAGCGUUGUUCGGAUUUACUGGGCGUAAAGCGCACGUAGGCGGAUCUUUAAGUCAGAGGUGAAAUCCCAAGGCUCAACCUUGGAACUGCCUUUGAUACUGGGGAUCUUGAGUCCGGGAGAGGUGAGUGGAACUGCGAGUGUAAGAGGUGAAAUUCGUAGAUAUUCGCAAGAACACCAGUGGCGAAGGCGGCUCACUGGCCCGGUACUGACGCUGAGGUGCGAAAGGCGUGGGGAGCAAACAGG